rnacentral:lncRNA from 10 species
AGCUCGGGUGGUUUCCAGCCUUCUAACCCACAGACCAUGGCCACGCUCCCUCACCAGGGUGUCUGCUCCUAUGGCUCCCCUCGCUUGCAAGCUCCUCCUACGUCUGCCACCCUCCCAGACACGGUGAGCAUCGGCAGAAAGCCCACUAGGUCACAGCAGCUGGGCAGUCAGGAGGAAAUGGUGUGCAGCAGGCCCGCAGGAGGCAAGAGGGGGCUGUGGGGCCACGGUGCAGAUGCGGACGGGAUCCCAUCCCCAGCAGCCACGUGGGCGAGUGUCACCAGAUGAGAUUUUUCGAGAGAAGCUGGAAGUCUGGAUGUUGAGGUGCGUUCAGGUUUCAGACCACACAGCAGGUCAAACACCAGCUGUCAGUGAGUGAACACAGCUGGGCUGCAUCCUUAGCCCCUCACUGUGGGACAGAGACUCAAACACAAGCCGUCUGUGAGUGAAGACAGCUGGGGCACAUCCUUACCCCCUCACUGUGGGACAGGGACUCCCCAGGCUCCUCUUCUUCCCACUCCUCAUCACUGUCCACCUCAUAGUCCAGGAGCUUCUGAGAAAAGAAACACAUG